rnacentral:rRNA from 1 species
UACGUAGGGUGCAAGCGUUGUCCGGAAUUAUUGGGCGUAAAGAGUUCGUAGGCGGUCUGUCGCGUCUGCUGUGAAAAACUCGGGGCUUAACCCCGGGCCUGCAGUGGGUACGGGCAGACUAGAGUGCGGUAGGGGAGACUGGAAUUCCUGGUGUAGCGGUGAAAUGCGCAGAUAUCGAGAGGAACACCUGCGGCGAAGGCGGGUAGCUGGGCCGACACUGACGCUGAUGCGCGAAAGCCAGGGGAGCGAAGCGGG